rnacentral:rRNA from 1 species
GAUGAACGCUAGCGGCAGGCCUAACACAUGCAAGUCGAGGGGCAGCACAGAAACAGCAAUGUUUUGGUGGCGACCGGCGGACGGGUGCGUAACGCGUAUGCAACCUACCUUUAACAGGGGGAUAACGGAGAGAAAUUUCCACUAAUACCCCAUAACAUCGAUCAAGGCAUCUUGAUUGGUUGAAAACUCCGGUGGUUAAAGAUGGGCAUGCGUUGCAUUAGGUAGUUGGUGAGGUAAUGGCUCACCAAGCCUACGAUACAUAGGGGGACUGAAAGAUUAGCCCCCCACACUGGUACUGAAACACGGACCAGAGUCCUCCGGGAGGCAGCAGUGAGGAAUAUUGGUCAAUGGGGGCAACCCCGAACCAGCCAUGCCGCGUGCAGGAAGACGGCUCUAUGAGUUGUAAACUGCUUUUAAACAGGGAUAAAGCACAGUAUGUAUACUGUGUUGAAGGUACUGUAAGAAUAAGGAGCGGCUAACUCCGUGCCAGCCGCCGCCGUAA